AGAACGAACGCUGGCGGCACGCCUAACACAUGCAAGUCGAGCGCCCAGCAAUGGGAGCGGCGGACGGGUGAGGAACACGUGGGAACAUGCCUUUCGGUUCGGCACAACUGCGGGAAACUGCAGCUAAUUCCGGAUACGCCCUUACGGGGAAAGAUUUAUCGCCGAAAGAUUGGCCCGCGUCUGAUUAGCUAGUUGGUGAGGUAAUGGCUCACCAAGGCUUCGAUCAGUAGCUGGUUUGAGAGAACGACCAGCCACACUGGGACUGAGACACGGCCCAGACUCCUACGGGAGGCAGCAGUGGGGAAUCUUGGACAAUGGAGGAAACUCUGAUCCAGCGAUGCCGCGUGAGUGAUGAAGGCCUUCGGGUUGUAAAACUCUUUUACCAGGGAAGAUAAUGACUGUACCUGGAGAAUAAGCCCCGGCUAACUUCGUGUCAGCAGCCGC
rnacentral:rRNA from 1 species